CCCCUACCCCCGCCCAGGGACUAAUUAAUCCAGUCAAGUUCACAGUGGAUAUUAAGUUCCACAGACUACCAGAAUGUAACUCUAGGCUACCACUCCAACACUAUGUCUGCCUGCAUGCUACCAUGCUUCCUGCCACGAUGACAAGAAACUUAACCUCUGAAACUCCGUGAGUGUCACUAGAAAACUUCUGAGUCACUUCUGUGAUCCUCCUCCUGGUUUUGUCCACUUGGUUUCCUCAGGAGGAUCUGAGUUGUACACAUCCCGGUCAUAUUUGCUUUGACUGAAAAAUUGCUUGCAUUACAUUGAUUUAAGACAGUUCAGCAACAAGAAAAGAAAGCAAGCUCUGUGUACACUGAAUAUGGAAGUUUUCAACGCAGUUCAGCGCUGCUGUUAGGACUUCAGCAGCAAAGGUCAGGAGGCAGCGCUGCAUCUGCCUGAGAACUUUACAGAGGCCGCAGCAAAGCUUCCUUUGUUCCUCCUGCCAGGCCGUGUCCAGGAGCAUGCUCCAGUCUCCGGAAAGCAAUAGUUUUCCAGAUCUCCCCGCCCUCCCCCCCCACCCAUCGCCCCCGCCUCUUCCCACUUCCUGUCCCUUCUUCUAGAUCUUAUGUAGGUACUUCUUACUGGCAGAGUGAUGGAAACCCAGAAGAAAAUGG